GUGCCAGCCGCCGCGGUAAUACGUAGGGGGCAAGCGUUGUCCGGAUUUACUGGGUGUAAAGGGUGCUCAGGUGGAUUUGUUAGUCGGAGGUGAAACUCCGGAGCUUAACUCCGGAACUGCCUCCGAAACAGCAAGUCUUGAGUUUGGUAGAGGAUGAUGGAAUAUCUGGUGUAGCAGUGAAAUGCGUAGAUAUCAGAUAGAACACCAAUGGCGAAGGCAGUCAUCUGGGCCAUAACUGACACUAAAGCACGAAAGCGUGGGGAUCAAACAGGAUUAGAUACCCUGGUAGUCCACGCCCUAAACGAUGAGUACUAGAUGUUGGUCCCAUAGGGGUCAGUAUCCAAGCUAACGCAUUAAGUACUCCACCUGGGAAGUACGAUCGCAAGGUUGAAACUCAAAUGAAUUGACGGGG
rnacentral:rRNA from 1 species